rnacentral:rRNA from 1 species
CCUACGGGAGGCAGCAGUAGGGAAUAUUGCUCAAUGGGGGAAACCCUGAAGCAGCAACGCCGCGUGGAGGAUGAAGGUUUUAGGAUUGUAAACUCCUUUUGUUAGAGAAGAUUAUGACGGUAUCUAACGAAUAAGCACCGGCUAACUCCGUGCCAGCAGCCGCGGUAAUACGGAGGGUGCAAGCGUUACUCGGAAUCACUGGGCGUAAAGAGUGCGUAGGCGGGGUAAUAAGUCAGAUGUGAAAUCCUGUGGCUUAACCACAGAACUGCAUUUGAAACUGUUACUCUGGAGUGUGGGAGAGGUAGGUGGAAUUCGUGGUGUAGGGGUAAAAUCCGUAGAGAUCAAGAGGAAUACUCAUUGCGAAGGCGACCUGCUGGAACAUUACUGACGCUGAUGCACGAAAGCGUGGGGAGCAAACAGGAUUAGAUACCCCAGUAGUC